rnacentral:rRNA from 1 species
GACGAACGCUGGCGGCGUGCUUAACACAUGCAAGUCGAACGGAAAGGCCCUGCUUUUGUGGGGUGCUCGAGUGGCGAACGGGUGUGUAAAACGUGAGUACCCUGCCCUUGACAUUGGGAUAACUUCAGGAAACUGGGGGUCAUAUCGGAUAGGCGCUCCUGCUGCAUGGUGGGGGUUGGAGGGUUUCGGCGGUGGGGGAUGGAAUCGCGGCUUAUCAGCUUGUUGGUGGGGUAGUGGCUUACCAAGGCUUUGACGGGUAGCCGGCCUGAGAGGGUGACCGGCCACAUUGGGACUGAGAUACGGCCCAGACUCCUACGGGAGGCAGCAGUGGGGAAUAUUGCACAAUGGGCGGAAGCCUGAUGCAGCAACGCCGCGUGCGGGAUGACGGCCUUCGGGUUGUAAACCGCUUUCACCAGGGACGAAGCGUAAGUGACGGUAAUGGGAAAAGAAGCACCGGCUAACUACGUG